GGCGGACGGGUGAGUAACGCGUGGGUAACCUGCCUUGUACUGGGGGACAACAGUUAGAAAUGACUGCUAAUACCGCAUAAGCGCACAGUAUCGCAUGAUACGGUGUGAAAAACUCCGGUGGUACAAGAUGGACCCGCGUCUGAUUAGCUAGUUGGUAAGGUAACGGCUUACCAAGGCGACGAUCAGUAGCCGACCUGAGAGGGUGACCGGCCACAUUGGAACUGAGACACGGUCCAA
rnacentral:rRNA from 1 species